AACAUGUACUACAGAGGUAAAUAACAUGUACUACAACAUGUACUACAGAGGUAAAUAACAUGUACUACAACAUGUACUACAGAGUGUAAAAAAACAUGUACUACAGAGGUAAAUAACAUGUACUACAGAGGUAAAUAACAUGUACUACAACAUGUACUACAGAGGUAAAUAACAUGUACUACAGAGGUAAAUAACAUGUACUACAGAGGUAAAUAACAUUACUACAGAGGUAAACAACAUGUACUACAGAGGUAAAUAACAUAACAUGUACUACAACAUGUACUACAGAGGUAAAUAACAUGUACUACAACAUGUACUA